CUAUCACCCUCUUCAAUUCCAGAUCACAAGUUAGGGUUUUGUCAUCUUUUUGUUCACAUAUUAAACUGUUCAUUAUAAUAUGUGGCUUGCACUUAUCCAUGGUCAAAGGAAGAAUCUUUCUUAAAUACCACAAGUGCAAUUCUCUCCCCUCCUUGUCGGUCGCUUCCGCCAGUUUAAUGGAGAUAGAAGAAAAAUAUCCUGUAACCUUGCAUUACCCUUUCAAAAGCUCUCAAGAGUUCUUUAUUUUCAUGGUGCCAAUUGGGUUUCGCUGGAACUGAAGGUGCGUUGAAAACAUCUGUGCAAUAUUUUAAAGCUUGGAAAUUAUGAAAUGGGAACAUGUGCUUAAAAUGGCUGGAGUAAAUACAUUCAGGAGCUAAGAAAGGAACUGGCAACUAUAGAAGAACAGACCUAAGCCCAAAAAUCUUGCUUUACCAUGGCCUCCUUUUCAAAGUCAUCCAAGGUAAGUGAAUCUCCCAAGCAUACAUAGAAGCUAAUAUCCAUGCGGACAUAAUGCCUGCUAAGGGUGUAGAAUUAGGCUAUGAGAUUUAUUAUACAAGCCUCCAAGUUUCAUGUCAGGCUGCUUGCAGAAGGAUUUUUGUGGUACAGUUGAAUUCAGGCUUUGUAAGUAGUUUCUGCGAUUGUUUUUCUUCUCGUUUUUCCUGGGCUUUGUAUCCCAUCCAUAUCAAUAAAAAAGGAAGGUUGAAGGUUGAAACUUGAAAAUGGGCACACCUUCAACAAGGAAGCUUGAAGCGGCCAGUUCUGCACUUAUGGUUGUUUUCUUUAUCAUCAUUUAUGGUAAACAAGAACAAAGAACUGUAAACAUAUCUACUUUAAGUGCA